AUGAGCAAAAGUGGCGAGCAGAACUACGGAAUCCCAUUCUGCUUCCCGAAGUGGAAGUGCACACGGAUCCGGGAAAUCUGCACUGCAUAUACCUGCAAGGUCUCCCUCCAAGGAAGACUCAACACGUUCUAGAUCAAAGUCGAGGUCCAGAUCUGAAUCUAGGUCUAGAUCCAGAAGAAGUUCUAGAAGGCAUUAUACAAGGUCACGAUCACGAUCUAGCUCGCAUAGACGAUCCCAGAGCAGGUCUUACAGCCGAGAUUAUCGCAGGCGCCACAGCCACAGCCAUUCUCCCAGGUCUACACGAAGGCAUCGUGUUGGGAACCGGGCAAAUCCUGACCCCAACUGUUGUCUUGGUGUGUUUGGGUUGAGCUUAUACACCACAGAAAGAGACCUAAGAGAAGUGUUCUCUAAAUAUGGCCCCAUUGCUGAUGUGUCUAUUGUAUAUGACCAGCAAUUCAAAUCAAGAGGAUUUGCCUUUGUAUAUUUUGUAUUUUUUGUAUAUUUGAAAAUGUAGACGAUGCCAAGGAAGCUAAAGAACGUGCCAAUGGACUGGAGCUUGAUGGGUGAUGAAUUAGAGUCGAUUUCUCUAUAACAAAAAGGCCCCAUACCUCAACACCAGGAAUUUAUAUGGGGAGACCCACUUAUGGCAGUUCACACGGCCGAGACUAUUAUGACAGAGCCUAUGACGGGGGUAUGAUGACAGCAUGACUAUUACAGCAGAUCAUACAGAGGAGGAGGUGGUGGAGGAGGUGGGUGGAGAGCAGCUCAAGACAGGGAUGAGAUAUACAGAAGACGGUCACCUUCUUACUACAGUCGUGGAGGAUACAGGUCACGUUCUCCAUCACGACCCUACUCACCUCGUCGCUACUAAAGCAUGAAGUUGAAGACUUUCUGAAACCUGCCACAGAGCUGGGAUAUUGUUUGUGGACAAUAUUUUCUAUUGUCUCCUGUUU